rnacentral:rRNA from 1 species
AUUGAACGCUGGCGGCAGGCUUAACACAUGCAAGUCGAGCGAGCGGCGGACGGGUGUGUAAUGUCUGGGAAACUGCCUGAUGGAGGGGGAUAACUACUGGAAAGGGUGGCUAAUACCCCAUGGCAGCAGAUUUGCCCAGGUGGGAUUAGCUAGUAGGUGGGGUAAUGGCUCACCUAGGCGAUGAUCCCUAGCUGGUCUGAGAGGAUGACCAGCCACACUGGGACUGAGACACGGUCCAGACUCCUACGGGAGGCAGCAGUGGGGAAUAUUGCACAAUGGGCGCAAGCCUGAUGAAGCCAUGCCGCGUGAGUGAAGAAGGCUUUCGGGUUGUAAAGCACUUUCAGAGAGGAGGCGUUACUCGACGAAGAAGCACCGGCUAACUCCGUGCCAGCAGCCGCGGUAAUAC